UAACUGCGAGUGAAGCGGGAAAAGCUCAAAUUUAAAAUCUAGUGGUCUUUGGCCGUUCGAGUUGUAAUUUAGAGAAGCGUCUUCCGCGCCAGACUGUGCAAAAGUCUCCUGGAAUGGAGUGUCAUAGAGGGUGAGAACCCCGUCUUUAGCAUGGAUUCUUGGUGCUUCUGUGAUGCGCUCUCGAAGAGUCGAGUUGUUUGGGAAUGCAGCUCAAAAUGGGUGGUGAACUCCAUCUAAAGCUAAAUAUUGGCGAGAGACCGAUAGCGAACAAGUACCGUGAGGGAAAGAUGAAAAGCACUUUGGAAAGAGAGUGAAACAGUACGUGAAAUUGUUGAAAGGGAAACGCUUGAAGUCAGUCGCGUUGACCAAGACUCAGCCUUGCCUCGGCUUGGUGUUCUUCUUGGCUGACGGGCCAGCAUCAAUUUUGUCCUUUGGAUAAUGGCAAGGGAAAGGUGACACCCUUACCSGGUGCGUUAUAGUCUCCUGUCGCAUACAAGGGGUGAGAUUGAGGAACUCAGCACGCGCCAUCUUGGUGUCGGGGCCUCGGC
rnacentral:rRNA from 1 species